rnacentral:rRNA from 1 species
AUUGAACGCUGGCGGCAGGCCUAACACAUGCGAGUCGAGCGGUAGCACAGAGAGCUUGCUCUCGGGUGACGAGCGGCGGACGGGUGAGUAAUGUCUGGGAAACUGCCUGAUGGAGGGGGAUAACUACUGGAAACGGUAGCUAAUACCGCAUAACGUCGCAAGACCAAAGAGGGGGGACCUUCGGGCCUCUUGCCAUCAGA